rnacentral:rRNA from 1 species
UACGGAGGGUGCAAGCGUUAAUCGGAAUUACUGGGCGUAAAGCGUGCGUAGGCGGUUCGUUAAGUCUGUUGUGAAAGCCCCGGCUCAACCUGGGAAUGGCAAUGGAUACUGGCGAGCUAGAGUGUGUCAGAGGAUGGUGGAAUUCCGGUGUAGCGGUGAAAUGCGUAGAGAUCGGAGGAACAUCAGUGGCGAAGGCGGCCAUCUGGGACACACUGACGCUGAGGCACGAAAGCGUGGGGAGCAAACAGGAUGAGAUACCGUAGUAAGUCCGAUGAGCCA